GUGGAAUUCGCCCUUGUGCCAGCCGCCGCGUUAAUACGUAGGGUGCGAGCGUUGUCCGGAAUUACUGGGCGUAAAGGGCUCGUAGGUGGUUUGUCGCGUCGUCUGUGAAAUUCUGGGGCUUAACUCCGGGCGUGCAGGCGAUACGGGCAUAACUUGAGUGCUGUAGGGGUAACUGGAAUUCCUGGUGUAGCGGUGAAAUGCGCAGAUAUCAGGAGGAACACCGAUGGCGAAGGCAGGUUACUGGGCAGUUACUGACGCUGAGGAGCGAAAGCAUGGGUAGCGAACAGGAUUAGAUACCCUGGUAGUCCAUGCCGUAAACGGUGGGCGCUAGGUGUGAGGGUCUUUCUACGACUUUCGUGCCGUAGCUAACGCAUUAAGCGCCCCGCCUGGGGAGUACGGCCGCAAGGCUAAAACUCAAAGGAAUUGACGGGGGCCCGCACAAGCGGCGGAGCAUGUGGAUUAAUUCGAUGCAACGCGAAGAACCUUACCUGGGCUUGACAUACACCAGAUCGCUGCAGAGAUGUAGUUUCCCUUUGUGGUUGGUGUACAGGUGGUGCAUGGUUGUCGUCAGCUCGUGUCGUGAGAUGUUGGGUUAAGUCCCGCAACGAGCGCAACCCUUGUCUUAUGUUGCCAGCAUUUGGUUGGGGACUCAUGAGAGACUGCCGGGGUUAACUCGGAGGAAGGUGGGGAUGACGUCAAAUCAUCAUGCCCCUUAUGUCCAGGGCUUCACACAUGCUACAAUGGUCGGUACAACGCGCUGCGACACUGUGAGGUGG
rnacentral:rRNA from 1 species